AUCAGAUGUUUAUUUCAGAACUUACAGUGUUGUCUAGUCAUUUGCUGGCAUGCACUACAAAGCUGUCAUUACUGAAAAAUGGUUGUAACAUAUUUUAUUUUAUGCCUGGUGUGCGUGGUGGGUUAUUUUCAUUUAUCGUCGUGCGCACCUUAUGGAAAUGGCAAUGAAAGACAAGAUAUUGAUACCUUUGAGACACCGCGUCAGAUAAACAGCUUAAAUGGCGCGGUGAAAUAGAAGAAAUGUUCGAAGAAGGCACGGAAAACCACGCACAAGUUGAAAAUACGUUGGAGAACCAAGAUAUAGUCAUGGAGCCAGUCGCAGACAGACUGUUGAGCCCCCGAAAUGUGUCAUUUUUUGUAUAUUUGGACCACAAAGAAAAAAUGAGCAACCAAAUUCUGCGGUUCGAUAAAGUAGUUUACAAUUACGGAAAUGGAUAUAACGUGCAUCCUGGAAUCUUUACUGUACCGUUAACUGGUGCCUACAUCAUCUCCUUUCAUUUAGAGCUUUUACCAUUCUCAUCCAAUUCAAUCGCAUCCUGUCUUUACGUCAAUAGCAAAAUCAUGGUGAGCAGCGUGGUGGAUACGAAUUCUGGGACCGACGACGCUGGCCAAACCGUUCUUCUUUAUCUGAAAACAGGAGAAUCGGUGUACUUGAAAGUAGACAGUGGGGAAGUUUUCAACAACCAUCGCAGCAGUAUUUUCACUGGCGUACGUUUGCCAUAUGUUUAAAUAAAUGUUUAAACAUGGUCGGUCUCAUUGUAGAAUCAUUUUGUAGCUUAAGAAAGUUCUGUUAAAGAUAUACUAUCAACAUAUGUUUUUCAACAAAAUGUUAUGCUUUUCUGUUUAGAGAUGUCCCUGAUUAGGCUUCUGGAUAUAUUUACCCUCGCAAAUACAUUUAAUAACUUUUUCAGUUUCCGACUUUUAUUUUACCUAUCUUGGUUUUACAAAAAGGAGGCAAUAAGAUUGAUGAAACUGUCAUUUUUUCCUUAAUUAUUUCUUAAUUUUCUGCGAUAUUGUUCUCUAUUUUCCAGUUUAUGAAAACUGUAAUGAAAUCUUUUCAAUAUAUUUGAACUUUAUGAUAAAUACGUUGAUUUUACAUAUUUGUUAGAAAAAUGUCAUCUUGUUUGGGCAACUAGUUUCAAUAUUUUUAAUACUUACUAUUGAUAUAUGAGCCAUGCCAUGAGAAAAUCAACAUAGUGGGUUUGCGACCAGCAUGGAUCCAGACCAGCCUGCGCAUCCGCGCAGUCUGGUCAGGAUCCAUGCUGUUCGCUAACAGUUUCUCCAAUUCCAAUAGGCUUUAAAAGCGAACAGCAUGGAUCCUGACCAGACUGGGCGGAUGCGCAGACUGGUCUGGAUCCAUGCUGGUCGCAAACCCACUAUGUUGGUUUUCUCAUGGCACGGCUCAUAUGACAUUACUCAAAUUGUCGUGGACUUAGGAUAUGUGUACAGUUUUACUCCAAACAAAUCCAUGACAUAUCCAAAUUCAGAUUAACCACCUUUAAACCGAAAGUAGUACGUUUCCAAGAAACACUUUAUCUAUAUACAAACAUUACUUAAUUAAAUACUAUGUAGCAUGAAUUUUCAAUUUUCGAGAAUGGGAGAAACGUUCCACCCUUUUCAGCGGUUUUUAUGUAGGCAUAUUUAUCAUGGGAUUCUCGAGUUUUGCUGAAUGGAGGAAUCUUCCACCCUUUACAUUGGUAAACACAAUAUUUGAAAUAAAACGUGUAUUGUUAAAGGGGAGAAAUAUCUCUAUUAUGAAAUACAAAUAAAGUUAGCAUUAAUUUCAAUUUUGUAAAAACAGGUCAAACUUAUAUUCAGUGUUUUUAUUUUUAUUUAAUUUGAAUUGACACGAAUUUUCAUUUCUCAUUUAAU